UACAGAGGUCCCAAGCGUUGUUCGGAUUCACUGGGCGUAAAGGGUGCGUAGGUGGCCGGGAAAGUCUGAUGUGAAAGCUCUGAGCUCAACUCAGAAACGGCAUUGGAAACUACUUGGCUUGAGGAUCGGAGGGGAGACUGGAAUUCUCGGUGUAGCAGUGAAAUGCGUAGAUAUCGAGAGGAACACCAGUGGCGAAGGCGAGUCUCUGGACGAUUCCUGACGCUGAGGCACGAAAGCUAGGGGAGCAAACAGG
rnacentral:rRNA from 1 species